rnacentral:rRNA from 1 species
CAGCAGCCGCGGGAAUACGGAGGGUGCAAGCGUUGUCCGGAUUUAUUGGGUUUAAAGGGUGCGUAGGCGGCCUAAUAAGUCAGUGGUGAAAGCCUCCAGCUUAACUGGAGAACUGCCAUUGAUACUGUUAGGCUUGAGUAUACUUGAGGUAGGCGGAAUUGACAGUGUAGCGGUGAAAUGCAUAAAUAUUGUCAAGAACACCAAUUGCGAAGGCAGCUUACUAAAUUAUAACUGACGCUGAGGCACGAAAGUGUGGGUAUCAAACAGGAUUAGAUACCCGCGUAGUCCCUGUCUCUUAUAC